AGAGUUUGAUCCUGGCUCAGGAUGAACGCUGGCGGUAUGCCUUACACAUGCAAGUCGAACGGAAAUUAGCUUCGGUUAAUUUUAGUGGCGGACGGGUGAGUAACACGUGAGAAUUCGCCUUUAGGAGGGGGAUAACGGAUGGAAACAUUCGCUAAAACCCCAUAUGCCCCCGGGUGAAAAAGAGGAGAUAAGUAAAACUGAAUCACCUCUGCCUGAAGAGAAGCUCGCGGCUGAUUAGCUAGUUGGUAGGGUAAAGGCCUACCAAGGCGACGAUCAGUAGCUGGUCUGAGAGGACGAUCAGCCACACUGGAACUGAGACACGGUCCAGACUCCUACGGGAGGCAGCAGUGAGGAAUUUUCUGCAAUGGGCGCAAGCCUGACAGAGCAAUACCGCGUGAGGGAUGAAGACUUACUGAGUUGUAAACCUCGGUGCCUUAAGGAAGAAGAUCUGACGGUACUUAAGGUGGAAAGCAUCGGCUAACUCCGUGCCAGCAGCCGCGGUAAGACGGGGGAUGCAAGUGUUAUCCGGAUUUACUGGGCGUAAAGCGUCUGCAGGUGGUUUCUUAAGUCUGCUGUUAAAUCUUGAGGCUCAACCUCAAAUCUGCAGUAGAAACUAGGAGACUUGAGUAUAGUAGGGGUAGAGGGAAUUUCCAGUGUAGCGGUGAAAUGCGUAGA
rnacentral:rRNA from 1 species